GUACUUAUCUGGCAGGGGAGUGACUGUGAUCACAAGGCUAUUCUCCCUGGCUGAGGCUCAUCCAUUGCACUUCGCGUGCAUGGACGUCUGCAAUGUCCUCAACUGCGAGAUAUUAGUUUGCAAAUAUUUUUUGCAUUGGGGAACCCCGUUCGCGCUUUCCUCUG